UUACACGGUGAUAGGCGUCGGUGCCGGCCGGGGGUAAUGUGAGACAACAACUUUCCAGCCCCCCUCAGAGGUCAGCGUGUCGUCAUGGCUGCGCGCACGGCCCACAUGUGCACUGUGUGGACAGCUGAGUGACCCGCUGCGUCCUCGGCGUGAGAGCACCGUCUCCUCGUUUUAAUCACCGCUUUUUGACAUUCAGGCUUUAAUUUCCGUGGGGUUUUCAACGGCAGCAGGGGAGGCAUCUUCAUGUUGCGCCAGAUGGAGCCUCCAGCCAACCCGGGAGACAGCCCGGUGGAGUUGGAGCUAACGGUGCACAAUGUGGAGUCGGCUCUCUACCAGCUGUACUUUGACCCGGUCAUGGAGCGUAAGAAUGUGGCCCAGAAGUGGUUGACCGAGGCCCAGGCCUCCGCACAGGCAUGGCAGUUCUGCUGGGCACUGCUUGGCCCCGACAAGCUUCCGGAGGUUCAGUUUUUUGGCGCCAGCACCCUCCAUACCAAGAUCUCCCAUCACUGGAGCGAUCUCCCCUCAGACCAGCAUGACAGCCUGAGGAUGCAGCUCCUCUCCAACAUCCUGCACUUCUCCUCGGGGCCCAAGAUGGUGCUAACCAGGCUGUGUGUCGCCCUGGCCUCUAUGGCUCUGAACUUAAUUCCGCAGGUUUGGUCCCAACCAGUGGCGGACAUGGUGAGAGCCUUCCAACCGCAGAAACCUGACUCUGAAGGCGCCCCUGAGGCCCCCCAGGACCCGCAGGCGCACUGCCUCGCACUGCUGGAGCUCCUCACCGUGCUUCCAGAGGAGUUCCACAGCGGCCGGCUGGCCCAAGCUCGCCGUGCCCAGCUGAAGGGGGCCCUGGUCGGAGAGUGGGCAGUGGUGUGUCCCUUGCUGCGUCAGCUGCUCCAAAGUCAGGACUCCUCCAACCAGGUGAAGGAGAAGGUGCUACGCUGCUUAUCCAGCUGGGUGAGGCUGGAUGUGCCGUUGGGGGAGAGUCAUGAGCUGGUCCAGGACUGUUUCAGUGGUCUGUCCAACCCAGAGCUGUUCGACACGGCCGUGGAGACGAUAGUCAACGCCAUCUCGCAGCCUGACAGUCAAAGGUACGUUGAUGCCCUGGUGAACUUGAUGCCUCUGGUGCUGGGCCUCCAUGACCAGCUGAAGAGAGCGGCUCAGGAUGGGGACAUGGAAACCUCACACGGUAUCUGUCGUAUCGCCGUUGCUAUGGGGGAAACACACUCCAGGGUUUUGUUGGAGCAGGUGGAGCAUUGGCAGGAGUAUCUGGCUUUGGUUAACAUGAUUCUUUUCUGUACUGGCUUCCCGGGGCACUAUCCAGUCAGUGAGACCAGCAGCUCCCUCACACUCACCUUCUGGUACACUCUACAGGAUGACAUCUUGUCAUUCGAGGAGGAUAAGCAGGCAGUUUACCUGCAGGUCUACAGGCCCGUUUACUUCCAACUGGUAGACGUACUGCUACAUAAGUCCCACUAUCCCUCCGAGGAGGAGUAUGCCUCCUGGUCUUCUGAUGACAAGGAGCAGUUCCGAAUCUAUAGAGUCGAUAUUUCUGACACGCUGAUGUACGUGUAUGAAAUGCUGGGGGCAGAGCUGCUCAGUAACCUCUAUGACAGGCUGGGCAGACAGCUGAUGGACCCCCAACAGUCAGCGGUCUGGCAGGACACAGAGGCUCUGUUAUUUGGCUUCCAGUCCAUAGCGGAGACGAUAGACGUGAACUACUCCGACGUUAUCCCUGGCCUUAUUGGUCUCAUUCCCAGAAUCAACAUCAGCAACGUUAUGCUGGCUGACACUGUCAUGUACACCAUAGGAUCCUUGGCCGAGUGGCUGGCUGAUCACCCGGUGAUGAUAGGGGGCAUAAUACCCAUGGUGCUUCAGGGCCUUGGGAAGCCAGAGCUGUCCGUGUCCAGUGUGUCCACCCUGAAGAGGAUCUGCAGAGAGUGUAGACAGGACCUCGCCCCCUACGCUCAGGAUAUCCUGACCAUGUCACAGGAUGUACUGGUUAAAGAAAUCCAUAAGAGCAGCCAGUGCAUGUGGUUGAUGCAGGCUCUGGGCUUCCUCCUGUCCGCCCUGCCAGUGGAGGAGAUUCUGGGCCGACUUCACUCUCUCAUCACCCCUCACGUCCAGCGGCUGGAUACACUGGCACAGCAGGAGCCCGAUCCUACAAACAAACAGUCUAUUAUUCACAUCCUGGGGAUGCUGUCUAGUCUCUUCACUACUCUGGACAUCAACAGAGAAGCAGACAGCUCAGAGGGAGCGUCCAGCCCGAGACUCACUCCUACACAAAGCAUGCAGAACCCAGUUGUUGUUGUUCUACAGCAAGUGUUCACAUUGAUCCAGAACGUCUUCAGCAAGUGGCUUGAUGACUCAGAUGUAGUUGAGGCAGUGUGUGGGGUAUUUGAAAAGUCAGUUCGAACCCUGCUACAUGAUUUCGGGCCCAUGGUGGCUCAGCUGAGCGAGAUGCUGGGGCAGAUCUUUUGUGCUUUCCCACAAGCCUCGGCACUGGAUCUGGCGCGGCAGAUGGUUCACAUCUUUGCCGGAGAGGAACAUCACAUCGCUAGCAUUAAAAGCCUUAUUGAAGUGUUGACUUCUGCCACACUCACUCUAUUUCAGCAAGGUCCACGGGAUCAUCCCGAUAUUGCAGAAUCAUUUAUGCACCUCCAUGCUCAGAUUCUUAAAAGGAAGCCUGAUAUGUACCUGUCUGACCAGUUGGAUGUUAAAAGGCUGUUUUACUGCGGGAUUCUAUCUUUGAAGUUCCCAGAAACAGCCACAGUGAAAGCUGCCACACUAUUCUUUACCGAGCUGUUGCCUCGCUGUAAAGACAUGCCCCUGCUUGGGGAGGUGUUGCAGGAGGAUGGCAAGCUACUGACUGAGACCUUACUCCAGGCAGUCGGGGGCGAGUCCCCUCGCAGUCUGUCGGAGCACUUCUCCGAGGUGCUGUUGAGCCUAAACAGACACUGUCCAGCUCUGCUGUCCCAGUGGCUGAAGGAAACGCUGCAGGUCCCGGGCUUCCCCUCCGCCCAGGUCUCCACAGAGCAGAAACACAACUUCCGUCAGCAGCUUCUGAGUCAAAUAACAAGAAAAACGCUGCAACAAAACCCCUGAUUCAAGAACGUAGAACGACACACAGGCCUCAUCGAAUCACAAGUUCAGUGGGAGCAAACCCACAAGCGUCGCGUUAAGGACAUUGUGAAGGAGUUUUCUCUGCUCUGUCGGGGCCUGCAGGGAUCUGGAUACUCUGAUUACUGAGGUGGUAGCACUCCGAGGUCAAGAGAAAGUAACAAAAGAGAAUCCAGGAUCUUUCCAUUUCAACGGUAAAUGGUGCCAAAUUGUGCCGAUCACUUGGGCAGGCGAAGCUGGACAACAAAAACCAUAACGCUUGGACGAAACCAAAGCAAAAAGACAGCUUUAGUGUACUGCUAGGAUGAGUGGACCUCUGUGCAACAUGUUUAGCACCAAAUACCUCUGCAAGUGUCCAAGUAGGAGGAAAUAAAAGGAGACACACUGUAAGACACCAAUAAACAGUUCAUUCUUUGCAGCUGCAUGAUCAACUGUGUGUCUA